rnacentral:rRNA from 1 species
UUGGAGGGCAAGUCUGGUGCCAGCAGCCGCGGUAAUUCCAGCUCCAAUAGCGUAUAUUAAAGUUGUUGCAGUUAAAAAGCUCGUAGUUGAAUUUCGGGAUCAAUAUGUCGGUCGUGCCUCCGGUACGUACUGGCGUUAUUGGUUUCUCCCUUCUGACGAACCACGAUGUCAUUAAUUUGGUGUCAUGGGGAAUCAGGACUGUUACUUUGAAAAAAUUAGAGUGUUUAAAGCAGGCUCACGCUUGAAUACAUUAGCAUGGAAUAAUGAAAUAGGACGUUUGAUUCUAUUUUGUUGGUUUCUAGGAUCGACGUAAUGAUUAAUAGGGAUAGUUGGGGGCAUUAGUAUUCAAUUGUCAGAGGUGAAAUUCUUGGAUUUAUUGAAGACUAACUACUGCGAAAGCAUUUGCCAAGGAUGUUUUCAUUAAUCAAGAACGAAAGUUAGGGGAUCGAAGACGAUCAGAUACCGUCGUAGUCUUAACCAUAAACUAUGCCGACUAGGGAUCGGAUGAUGUUAAUUUUUUAAUGACUCAUUCGGCACCUUACGGGAAAC